CUCGAAGCUGAGUUAAGGUGGUUUGGGGCCAGGCUUCUUCUCCUGCUCCCCCUGGCACAGCAGUGUCAGCUAGGGCUGCAGCGAGAGCUGCCCUUUGGUGGCAGAGCAGUGCCAGCGCUCAUGCAGGAGAACCACGCUUCUGUCAGGGUGGCUUAUUUUGCUGAAGGGAGCUGGGAUUUGCUUGCUCAGCAGAAGCUCAGUUUUACUGUCAGCAGCUGCAUCUACCUUGGGAACGUUCGCUUUCUGAGCAGCCAUUGUAGCUCUGCUGUCUGAACAUCCCUGGUUUUCAGCUACAUGAGGUACCCCAACUGUUAAACCCUUAGCUAUCGCAGAGCUGGCUCUCUGAGCUUCUCUAUCACAUCCUAGGACAAAGCACUGCAGAAACCAUUUAUAGCUGUCAAAUCAACAAUUUUACUUUCCUUCACGUGCUUAAAUUCCCCUCCAAUCUCCUACUAAAAAUGAGAGGAGGAAAGCAGAGGAGAUUCAGUGCUAAGAGCAUGGACAGUGCACAGCAACCUCAGUAUGUAAUGCCCCAAGAAGUGCCAAACUUGUGACCUUGGCUGUCCUGUCGCUGCCUCUUCCCGCAGCUCGGCUUUGAAAAUGCUGUAAGAAAGCUUUGCGCAGUGCAUGCACUGCUGUGCUCACAGACGGGAUGCUGCCUCAGAUUGCCUCUGCUGGCCAGAAGGACAUGAGGAGCUCUGAGGUUUCUCUCCAGUUUUGAGUUUAAGGUUCCCAGAAGGAAGGAGGCCAUUUAAGAAAUGACCAGUCUGCUUCUGCGCAUGGGGUUGUUUAAUGAGAUGAGCAGUCUUGCGUGUUUUAUCUGGAAGCUUGUGCGGUUACCCUUGGAACUGUUACCAGAAAAAGCAAACCCAAGGUUUUUUUUCAAGUGGGCACAUAAUCUUUCUGUAAAACUCUAUGUGUCUGUGAGGGUGCAAAGUAACAGACAGCAGGAACUUCUCCAGCCUGAACACAGAGGUGAACCUCAGAGAAGUGCCAGGCUGUAUCCCAACCACAAAAAUAAUACUGCCAGGGAGAAGAAGGUGGUGUUCCUUCCAUGGAGAGCACGACACCCUCCUGGCACGAGGGGAAGCACUAUGGGCUCUGGUGGAGGAAUACGAGCACCUUCUGUGGCCACAACAGCACGACUGCAGUUGUUCAGAUGGGCUUUGUCUUCCCAUUAUUUUGUGGCUGACUGCUAUGACUAAAAGCAGAAAAGGAGAUACCGCAGUUCAAAAGUAUGUUCUACAUUCUUAAACUUCUGCAGGUAUAUAAAAUAUAUUUUCCUUUCUGGGGAGGUCUGCAACUCACUCGUGUCUAUAGAUGUAGCUUCACUGGGCUCAGUACUCUCUGGGUUCAUGUCCAUGCAGUUUUCACAGCUGUCUUUCUGUACCAGAAGAAAACUCUUACAUUCUGUAGCUGCUUCCAAAUGUACUCGGUAAAUAUGACAGCUUGGUCCAGAGCGAGUCAGCAGCCUUUUAGGUAUCCAGAAUGUUGAGCUUCAGACACAGGAAAGAAGCAUGCAACAACUUGGUGUUGUCUCAGUAGUCAGAGAGAGGCAUUAUAGGUAGUAGAGCUAAAUUUUACUCAUAGGGUCUUGGUUGAAUGUGCCAAGUAAGCACAUCUCCACUUAAAUAGACGCAGAGCUUGCACAACGCUCAGCCAGCAAGGCAAACACCUGAGUCCGUGCAGAAUGGCACAGUGUUAUCAGACAAAAAGCAG
ensembl:lncRNA